rnacentral:rRNA from 1 species
AACUGCUGCACAAGGAGUGUUCGAUUGGACUCCUUUUCACACAAUGAACAACCAGCUUAGAACUGAUGCGGGCAAGGGGAAUCCGACUGUUUAAUUGAAACAAAGUAUUGCGAUGCCCUGAAAGGAUGUUGACACAAUGUGAUUUCUGCCCAGUGCUCUGAAUGUCAAAGUGAGGAGAUUCAACUAAGCGCGGGUAAACGGCGGGAGUAACUAUGACUCUCUUAAGGUAGCCAAAUGCCUCGUCAUCCAAUUAGUGACGCGCAUGAAUGGAUUAAUGAGAUUCCUACUGUCCCAAUCURCUGUCCAGCGAAACCACAGCCAAGGGAACGGGCUUGGGUGAGUCAGCGGGGAAAGAAGACCCUGUUGAGCUUGACUCUAAUCCGACUUUGUGAAAUGACUUAGGAGGAGUAGGAUAUGUGGGAGCUCAGGUGAUCUUGAAAUACCACUACUUUUAAUGUCACUUUACUUACUCUAUCCAACUGUGCCCUGCCUCACAGCAGGUUUUUGCUUUUAAGGUUGCUCUUUUGGCGUGUUGAUUUGCGUAGAAGACGUCGUCCGGUGGGGAGUUUGGCUGGGGCGGCACAUCUGUUAAAGGAUAACGCAGGUGUCCUAAGGUGAGCUCAAUGAGAACAGAAAUCUCAUGCGGAUCAAAAGGGGAAACGCUUGCUUGAUUUUGCUUUUCAGUGUGAAGAUAAACUGUGCAAACAUGGCCUAUUGAUCCUUUAG